rnacentral:rRNA from 1 species
AGUCACUGACAUUAGAUACCCGGGUAGUCCAGGGUGUAAACGCUGCAGACUUGGUGUUGGAGGCCCUUUGGGGGCAUUCAGUGCCGGAGAGAAGUUGUUAGGUCUGCUACUUGGGGAGUACGUCCGCAAGGAUGAAACUUAAAGGAAUUGGCGGGGGAGCACCGCAACGGGAGGAGCGUGCGGUUUAAUUGGAUUCAACACCGUAAACUCACCAGGGAAGACUGUUACAUGAAGGCCGAGAUGAAGACUCUGCUAGAUUUUCAG